CCCUAGGCACGCUGUCAGUGCUGACCGCGCCUUCCCCGUGCUCCCGGUCUGCGGACCCGAAGGAGCGCGGGAUGAGGUUCUGUGCACGCUCUGGGCUGGAGGCUAGGUGGAGCUCCGUCCUUCAUUAAGGAGCCGCUGCGUAUAGUAUGCAAAUAUCGUGCCCGCCCCUGGAGUUUUGGCCACUUCCAUUCAGUGGCCCAAAAUAUUCUCUACGCUUUAUCCGUAAGCGGAGUUAUCCACAAAUCGUUAUAGUCUUUAUAUUAUUCCUUUUAUUUUACGUAAAUAUCGAUUGCCACAUUUAACUGCAGAUGCUGGAGCACAUCACUCAUAUCUGUUUUGUGUUAUGCUGGAUCAUCUGCAAGAAAUGUGGCUGGUUUACUCCCGGCUUAACCCAGAGCUAUCAACUUUUGGGCUUAUUGAAUGAACCGCCUCAGAUACGAGUGAUCUAGAUCUGAGCACCUACACACCAAUCUGUUCACAUACACUUUCCAAGAAUCAAACAGUAAAGGUAUUUAAAUCAUGACCCUUUGCUUCUUCUGUGGUUAUUUUUCAGAUGUAAACAGCGCAGACAGAGCAGAGGGAACGACAUCCAAGGCACAACACGAGCAGUGCAUGGAUAGUGACUUAUCUUCCCGAGGAGAAUGAACGAGAUGUCAGUUGGAACUAUGCCUGGAAUUAGACCAGCAUGAGGUCUCCUUUACCAAUCUAAGUUUGAUAUCCCAGCGCCCUGGCACGGUCACUUUGCAAAAGGAAAUUGCAAGAAACAACUCUCCUGGGCAUAAUGGGGGAACACCAGCAAAACCAGCAGCAUCCCAGACAUGCACAUCAUUGGCAGUCCUACCUCUGAGAGCUGGGAGUGCGUCUUGGUGAAUCUCUGCAUGCCGUGCAGUGAGAAUGAUGUUCAUGGCAUUACAGAAUGGAAGAGUGGCAGCCAGCAUUUCCUCCUUCUAAAGUGAGCUUUUGCAGCCCAAACUCCUGUAAAGGGCUGCAUGCAGAAGUGCAAGGAAAAGUCCAAGUGGACACGCUUGUGGGUCUGAGGUGAAGACGCACAUGUGAUCCUUGACUGUUUUAUACUGCGAGCUCUCUCUGAGCAGAAAUGAAUGCUGUCAUGUUGGUGAACACCCUAUCCUGGGUUAAUAUGCAAGUUUAUUUCAUCCAUGACAAAUGCCUGGUCAUUCUUAUUACUGAAGCUUUUUAUACUUACCUUUGCUUUUUAUACUUGUGGAGCAUGGUCUGUAACAGCAGUCCUACUGUACUUUAGGUACAAAACACAAAUACUCAUCCCUAAUUUUCACUCUUGUUUUGAAUAAAUGUUGGUUUUGGAACAGAACAAAAAGAUGUUGGUUCUCAUUUUGCUCUGCUUCUGCUCUAGGAAACCCACAGGCACUCCCAAGCAGUGUGAUGCUGGGCACACACACUGGGGCCUCUUCAGGAAUACAUGAGAAGAAAUGUCCCAUCUUCACAUCUCACCCAUUUCAUGCCGCGAUAAAUAUGAAUACUCUCAACAGGAGAACAAUGUCUGCAUCAAACUAUUAAACUUUUAUUGCCUGUGAAAACCAGGUAAAAAAAAUUAACUUCCUUUCAUGCAACAAUAAAGCAAAUUAAGGAACUUAAAUCGUUUGCAUCACCUCUGGUGAUAUCUGCUAAGCAUUUUCUGAUCAUUCUUAGAAAGCAAAAUAGAAGGCAAACUCACCAUGAAUAGAAACAAUAAUAGCCAGUAGCAUAGGUUGUAUGUUGUUUGAAUGGAAAGUAAUUUAUCACUUCUGAAAUAAAAGCUGUUUAUACUCAUGUUUCACUUUCUGUAGCAAUCUUUACAAUUUAUCUGUAAAAAAGUAAAGCACUGUACAGUCAUUAGCAUAUGAAUGCCUGACACACCAAAUUGGCUGUAAAAUAACAGAAGGACAUUUGCUAUUGGUGUAUGCACACAGACAAAGCAGUCAUUUUAGAAAAAAAUUGGGGAAAAAAAAAAAAGGGGGAUGGUGAGGUGCUUAACCCAUUGCCUGUCUCCCUGGUUUCACACUGCCACAUUGAUGGGGCUGGAAACCCCCAAAAAGCACCAGCACUCAGGUUAAAUGCCGGCACAAAGAUCGUUUGUGACAGAUGUGUGCUGGGACAAGAAUACUUGGUAUGGGAUGAGCAAUUCUGUGUGUCCUCACCCAAGGCACGGGGGAUGCACAGGAACGGCACAUCGCCAUGGUAUGGUUUUAUUUCACAGGCCUUGGGUCAGAUGUAUGAAACUAUUUCUCAAAGAGGCUGCAUACAUAAUUGAGGCCCGAUAAAAGGCUCUCAGUUGAAGUUGCUAGGCUACAUUCAUUUCAAAAGCAGAGCCAUUUGUUAUCAAAUUUAAAUUAACUCUCUCAGCACUGAGCUCAGAGUGCACAGAGCAGUCAGUCAGCACUGGUGCCUGGUAACAAUUAUCGCAUAACCAGAGCAACAUCACUUCACAGAGAAUGG